GCUUUAGCAAUAAAGAACCCGGUGACAGGUGCUGCAUGGCUGUCGUCAGCUCGUGUCGUGAGAUGUUGGGUUAAGUCCCGCAACGAGCGCAACCCUCGCCUUUAGUUGCCAGCAUUCAGUUGGGCACUCUAGAGGGACUGCCGGUGUCAAACCGGAGGAAGGUGGGAUGACGUCAAGUCCUCAUGGCCUUUAUGUCUAGGGCUACACACGUACUACAAUGGCCGGUACAAAGGGCAGCCACUCAGCGAUGAGGCGCUAAUCCCAUAAAGCCGGUCUCAGUCCGGAUCGCAGUCUGCAACUCGACUGCGUGAAGUUGGAAUCGCUAGUAAUCGUAGAUCAGCAUGCUACGGUGAAUACGUUCCCGGGCCUU
rnacentral:rRNA from 1 species